rnacentral:pre_miRNA from 1 species
CAUCUGCAGGCUGCCGGCCAGGGCUGGGCUGGGCGAGUAUCUCUUCGAAAGGCUCACCCUCAAGCAUGACCAGGAGC